rnacentral:rRNA from 1 species
AUUGAACGCUGGCGGCAGGCUAAACACAUGCAAGUCGAGCGGGGGAAGGUAGCUUGCUACUGGACCUAGCGGCGGACGGGUGAGUAAUGCUUAGGAAUCUGCCUAUUAGUGGGGGACAACAUCUCGAAAGGGAUGCUGAUACCGCAUACGUCCUACGGGAGAAAGCAGGGGAUCUUCGGACCUUGCGCUAAUAGAUGAGCCUAAGUCGGAUUAGCUAGUUGGUGGGGUAAAGGCCUACCAAGGCGACGAUCUGUAGCGGGUCUGAGAGGAUGAUCCGCCACACUGGGACUGAGACACGGCCCAGACUCCUACGGGAGGCAGCAGUGGGGAAUAUUGGACAAUGGGGGGAACCCUGAUCCAGCCAUGCCGCGUGUGUGAAGAAGGCCUUAUGGUUGUAAAGCACUUUAAGCGAGGAGGAGGCUACUCUAGUUAAUACCUAGGGAUAGUGGACGUUACUCGCAGAAUAAGCACCGGCUAACUCUGUGCCAGCCGCCGCCGUAA